rnacentral:lncRNA from 1 species
GGUUGAUCUAAUGUUGAAAUCAGAAAAUAGUACUGACAAUUAUGUUCACGUUCCUUGAUAUUUACUAAAUUUUGAAAAUUGGAUUUUACAAAUGCAUUUAACAUACAUGUUGAAUGUAUUGUAGUAUUCUUUACAUCUGAACACAUUCUACGAUUGUCAAUAAACUGAGGUAUAUAUGAUCAUUUUCAUCAGCAUCACAAUAGUUUAAUACACUUGCAUUUACACAAAAUAAUCUAUUUCAGAAAUCAAUAUUUAAUUGUUAUGCAAAUACACAACAUACUUUACAAGAGUUUAAUGUAAUGGGGAGAUCUACUGCAUUGAUUGAAAAGUCUAACAUUAUUUUGUGCCUUGAAUAUCUGAGCAUAUAUUACAUUGAUUAAUGUCUAGAAAUGUUUAUGGAUAGGAUGUAAAGAAUGUUAUUAUCAAUGCACUAUAUUUUGUGUAUCAAAAAAGGUAGUGAUAAGCCUUGGAACAUUUAUAUAUCAAGUCAGUCUCAUAAGGUUUUGAUUGCAUUUCAUGCAAUCUUGACCUAAAAAAUAGAAAAAUAUGUAACCAUCCAGUCAAUUUCCCAUUCCUUUACAAUUAUAAAAUGAUGAAAUAAAAAGAAUUUAUGUAAAUAGCACAGACACCAUAGCAAAGCUUUUUAAUUCCAGGAACUUUGAAAAAGAAAGUAAUAUAAGUGUUUGACAACCAAUAAGUAAAUAUGCAC